rnacentral:rRNA from 1 species
GACGAACGCUGGCGGCGUGCCUAAUACAUGCAAGUCGAGCGAAGUUUUUCUGGUGCUUGCACCGGAAAAACUUAGCGGCGAACGGGUGAGUAACACGUAAAGAACCUGCCUCAUAGGCUGGGACAACUAUUGGAAACGAUAGCUAAUACCGGAUAACAGCAUUAACUGCAUGGUUGAUGUUUAAAAGUUGGUUUUGCUAACACUAUGAGAUGGCUUUGCGGUGCAUUAGCUAGUUGGUGGGGUAAAGGCCUACCAAGGCGACGAUGCAUAGCCGACCUGAGAGGGUGAUCGGCCACACUGGGACUGAGACACGGCCCAGACUCCUACGGGAGGCAGCAGUAGGGAAUCUUCCGCAAUGGGCGAAAGCCUGACGGAGCAACGCCGCGUGAGUGAAGAAGGAUUUCGGUUCGUAAAGCUCUGUUGUUAGGGAAGAAUGAUUGUGUAGUAACUAUACACAGUAGAGACGGUACCUAGCCAGAAAGCCACGGCUAACUACGUG